CUUGUACACACCGCCCGUCACACCAUGGGAGCGGGAUGUACCAGAAGUAGGUAGGCUAACCGCAAGGGGGCCGCUUACCACGGUGCGUUUCGUGACUGGAGUG
rnacentral:rRNA from 1 species